CAGACAGAUAGACAGAAAAUAGACCGGCAGUCAGCCAGCAUUUAAAUAAAAGAGAUUUUUGUUUAAAGUCCCAGGUCAUUCUGGGAAGCCCAUUUGCCGAGAUAGAAUCCAGUUAGAGGAAGGUGUCAGGCUUGGAGACUGUAGUGUCCGCCGCGGAGAGCCCACUAGGUCUCCACAAGACCUGCUUCGUACCAAGGCCAGCGUUCUCGGCCGGCAGACAGCCGAAGUCCCGCCUCGGUCCAGCCCCAGGCCCCGGAGGCUUGACGGAUAUCAGGGAGGACUGGAGUAUCUGUGAUUUCAUUGCUAUGGGAAGCUUUGGCUGAAGAUACUCCCUCCCUCCAAGGAUGGAGACAAUUCUUCUAUUAAGUGCCGCAGUCACAGAAUCAUUUUACAGACGAGGAAACCAAGGCAAACAGCAUUAAGUGACUCACCCAGAGCCACACAACUAGUAAGUAUCUGAGACUGGAUUUGAACUCAGGAAGAUGAAUCUUGUCUGAUCCCACUCCCAGUACAUUGUCUAUGCCACCUUGCUGCCCAGAUCUAGGUUAUGGAGGACCUGAAAUACCAGGAUGAAAGAUCAGCAUUCACUGAGUGGUAGAUACAGAGUCCCUGAAAUUUAUUUUGAUGCUUUUUUUUAACCCUUACCUUUCAUCUUAGAAUCAAUACUGUGUACUGGUUCUAAGGCAGAAGAAUGGUAAGGGUUGGAUAAUGGAGGCUAAGUGACUUGCUCAGGGUCACACAGCUAGGAAUGCUUUUGUUUUUAAUAGAGUAUAUGUAUUGUGCUGAAAGGAAUGAUGAACUGGAUUUCUAUGUGAACUGGAAAGAACUCCAGGUACUGAUGCAGAGCAAAAGGAACAGAACCAGGAAAACAUUGUAUACAGAGACUGAUACACUGUGGCACAAUCGAAUGUAAUGGACUUCUCUACUUACAGCAAUGCAAUGAUCUAGGACAAUCCAGAGGUACUAAUGAGAAAGAACACUGUCCACAAACCCAGAGGAAGAACUGUGGGAGCAGAAACACAGAAGAAAAACAUAUCAUGUGUUUGAUGGGGAUAUGAUUGGGGUUUUGAUGUUAAAGAUCACUCUAUUGAAAAUAUGAAUGACAUGGAAAUAGGUUUUAAACAAUGAUACAUGGAUAACCCAGUGGAACUACUUGUCAGCUUUGGAAAGGGGAAGGAGGGAGCAUGGGGGAGGGGGGGCAGGUCAUGAAUCAUUUAGCCUUGAAAAAUAUUUUAAAUAUUUUUUUUAAAAAAACAGAGUCUAUGUCCAAGUCUACAUGUAAUAAUAUCUUUCAGUGCAGGAAGAACAUGUUGGAAGGUGGGGAGAGAAGAGUCAGAAAGAUACAUCAGAAGAGGUUUGUAAUUGCCCAGAGAAGUGGUGAUGGGAAUGUAUACACAGUGAGUGGAGAGAGAGAUUGAAAUCCUGUAUUAGGAUGGUGGCAAGUCAAGCCUCCAUUUUCUUGCAAACUAUAAUAGUGAUAUCAACUAAAAUCUAAAAUGUUCGAUUCAUGUCUUUGUUCAUCUUUGGGAUUUCUGCUCCUUUGUUUCUCUAGUUCUUCUAUUGGCUCCAAUUCUUCUCCCCUCACUCAACUCAAUCUCUAUCACUCCAUUUCAUUCUUGAGCCACUACUUUUCUGAGUUCUGUUUUCACAUGAGCCAGUGAAAAGAGGACUGGCCCAGGAAUCAGGAGAUGUAUUCCAGUCCCAAAUCAGUCAUUAAUUUAUUAUAUGAGCAAGUCAGUUCCCCCUUCUGGGGCUCGGUUCUCUCCUCUAGAAAAUGAGGUCCCUCCCAGAGCCUUUGACAUCCUAUUCUUUGCAUAUGGGAGACUUGCUCCCAGCACCCUGACCUCGAUUAACUUUAUUUAUAUUGAUAAAAAAAUAAAAUGUUCUGACAUCUGUUUAACUUGGCAUUUUCCUCCAUGCUAAGCUUUUAUAAAGCUCAGGGACAGGAACAACCUGUUCAAAAUGAAACCAGGUCCAUCCUUAAUAAUGUUUAUAAAGAAGGCUAGAGAUAGUAGCCCUUUCCCUCCACCCUGGCUUUUAAAACCUAAAAGUGUUUCCCCUCAAGGAAAUUAACUCUUUGGUCCUUCAGGAAUUAACUCUUUGGUCCUUCAGGAAUUAUCUUCAAAGCCAAAGAACCUGGUAUAAGUAUAGCAUUUUUUUUUCCCAAAAGCUAAUCAUUUCCCCCAGAUCCAGAUGGUCGGGAUUUCACUGGAGGAGCAAACCAGCCUAUUCCAUGCAGCUGUUCCAAUCUGUGGCUGAAAUCAAGAUGUUGGAAUUCGUUCUGUGUUCGGCCCUUUCAUGCAGAAGCCAGCAGGGCUUGUGGCCCUGGCAAAAAACGACAGGAGUCAAGCAGAGGUUGGGCCACAGGUGCUGUGCCUUGUGGGCCUGCCCAAGCAAUUAGCUCCCACUUAUUCCAAUGUGGCCCUUUUCAUGUUCCCAAGCUUUAAAACAGAAGUUUUCCAGAUUGUGUCCUCUACCUUUUGAAGGAUAUCAUCCUCUGAAGAGUGCAUUAAGAAGUCAGGUAUUUUCGACUCCAAGAUCCCCUCAGAGACCAUUCCCAGCCCUCCUGCUCCCAUCAUUGUCCUAUCAAAGUCCCCACAACCAGCUGGCUGCUCAAGAAAACUGAAUAUCCUCAGCAGUGUGUCUUCCUACUGAAGGCUGGGAAUAACUAGCAGCUCCAGCACAGGAGUGGAGGAAAACAUUGCAGAUACUGGGGAAGAAGUGAGAGACCUUCCAGUAGAAACUCCAAGUCCCACGAUCACAGAUCUAGGGCUGGAAAGGACAGCUAAUUACAAUCCUUCAUUUUAUAGAUAAGGAAAUUAGGACCCAGGAAGAUUAAGUAAUAAUGCAGUGCCUGACCCAUGUUGUUCGGUCAUUUUCAGUCAUAUCUGAUUCUUUGUGACUGCAUUUGGAGUUUUCUUGGCAGAGAUACUGGAGUGGUUUGCCAUUGCCUUCUCCAGCUCCUUUGCCAGACAAGGCCCAGAAAGGUCAUAAAGGCACUAAGCAUCACAGUCUGGAUUCAGACAUGGGUCCUAUUGUAAAGAUUAAAUUAAUUUCUCUACUAAAAGUAUUAUAUUUUUAUGAUGUUUAUUAAGAUUAUUAGAAAUCAAGGAAAUAAGAAAAUACAAAAUAAGAAAAGCAUGCGCCUAGGGCACAUUAGCCCAUUCACAACCUACUCACUACAUCUUGCCUGCCAGGUAGAGAGACAGUGUGCUUAGAAGCAGAAGAAGAGAGGGAAGUAGACGUCACAGCCGGUUUAAAUACAAAUUCUGAUCUUGCCCAGGUGGGAAUCUCAGGUGAGAUUAUAGGGAAUUCUGGGAAGUACCAAGGACGUCUGGGGAUUGAAGUCUAGUGUUCAAAUCUCCAUUUUUACACUAUGACCAAAAGCUCAACCCUCCAAGCACUGCAUCAUGUUGCUGCCAUUGAUAUCACAAGCAUUUUUUGCAGCCAUCCAAGAAGCAUUUGUUGAGCACCUACUACUUUUUUUUUUAACCCUUGCCUUCCAUCUUGGAAUCAAUACUGUGUAUUGGUUCCAAGGCAAAAGAGUGGUAAGGGUAGGCAAUGGAGGUUAAGUGACUUGCCCAGGGUCACACAGCUAGGAAGUGUCUGAGGUCAUAUUUGAACCUAGGACCUCCCAUUUCUAGGCCUGGCUCUCAAUCCACUGAGCUACUCAGCUGCCCCUGGGUAUUUUUUUUAAAUGCACCCCACUUAUCUUUCUUCCCUUCUGUGUAUUUUAAAAAUUGUUUCAUCAAUAUUCUUAUCUUUCUUUUCUUCUUUUUUGGCAUCACUGUGGCUACCUACCAACUCUGCCCCCAAGAGCUAUAGCACAUUUCCAAAGAUGACCAUUUUUGCAAGAAGAGGUGUAGGAAGUACUCAACUGCUCAGAUGUGGCAUUGGGAUGAGAAGGAUACGUUUAUGUCAGGAAAAAGAAGAGGUGGCCUUGUAAUGUAGGGAGAGUCCAAGAUAACCAGUGAUUACCCUGGUAACCAUAAAAGGUA